GAUGAACGCUGACAGAAUGCUUAACACAUGCAAGUCUUUGGCGAAGCUGUGCUUGCACAGCCUAGCCAAGGCGGACGGGUGAGUAACGCGUAAGGAACUUGCCCUGCAGUCAGGGAUAACAGACGGAAACGACUGAUAAGACCUGGUAAAGUCAGGCGGACUCAUGUCCAGCCUGAUGAAAAGUGAUGCUGCAGGAGAGCCUUGCGUCCUAUUAGCUUGUUGGUGAGGUAACGGCCCACCAAGGCGAUGAUAGGUAGCCGGCCUGAGAGGGUGGACGGCCACAAGGGGACUGAGAUACGGCCCUUACUCCUACGGGAGGCAGCAGUGGGGAAUAUUGGACAAUGGGGGCAACCCUGAUCCAGCAAUUCUGUGUGCACGAUGAAGGUUUUCGGAUUGUAAAGUGCUUUCAGCAGGGAAGAAAAAAAUGACGGUACCUGCAGAAGAAGCGACGGCUAAAUACGUG
rnacentral:rRNA from 1 species